rnacentral:snRNA from 1 species
AUGACUUCUUGGCCUUUUGGCUAAGAUCAAGUGUAGUAUCUAUUCUUAUCAGUUUACUAUCUCAUAUGUCCUCUAUCCGAGGACAAUAUGUUAAAUGGAUUUUUGGAGAUAGGAGUUGGAAUAGGAGCUUGCUCCCUCCACUCCACGCAUCCACCUAGCACUGCAGUACUUCCAAGAAUGGUGCAUGCCCU